GGGUUGUGAGGUUAAGCGACUAAGCGUACACGGUGGAUGCCCUGGCAGUCAGAGGCGAUGAAGGACGUGCUAAUCUGCGAUAAGCGUCGGUAAGGUGAUAUGAACCGUUAUAACCGGCGAUUUCCGAAUGGGGAAACCCAGUGUGUUUCGACACACUAUCAUUAACUGAAUCCAUAGGUUAAUGAGGCGAACCGGGGGAACUGAAACAUCUAAGUACCCCGAGGAAAAGAAAUCAACCGAGAUUCCCCCAGUAGCGGCGAGCGAACGGGGAGCAGCCCAGAGCCUGAAUCAGUGUGUGUGUUAGUGGAAGCGUCUGGAAAGGCGCGCGAUACAGGGUGACAGCCCCGUACACAAAAAUGCACAUGCUGUGAGCUCGAUGAGUAGGGCGGGACACGUGGUAUCCUGUCUGAAUAUGGGGGGACCAUCCUCCAAGGCUAAAUACUCCUGACUGACCGAUAGUGAACCAGUACCGUGAGGGAAAGGCGAAAAGAACCCCGGCGAGGGGAGUGAAAAAGAACCUGAAACCGUGUACGUACAAGCAGUGGGAGCACGCUUCGGCGUGUGACUGCGUACCUUUUGUAUAAUGGGUCAGCGACUUAUAUUCUGUAGCAAGGUUAACCGAAUAGGGGAGCCGAAGGGAAACCGAGUCUUAACUGGGCGUUAAGUUGCAGGGUAUAGACCCGAAACCCGGUGAUCUAGCCAUGGGCAGGUUGAAGGUUGGGUAACACUAACUGGAGGACCGAACCGACUAAUGUUGAAAAAUUAGCGGAUGACUUGUGGCUGGGGGUGAAAGGCCAAUCAAACCGGGAGAUAGCUGGUUCUCCCCGAAAGCUAUUUAGGUAGCGCCUCGUGAAUUCAUCUCCGGGGGUAGAGCACUGUUUCGGCAAGGGGGUCAUCCCGACUUACCAACCCGAUGCAAACUGCGAAUACCGGAGAAUGUUAUCACGGGAGACACACGGCGGGUGCUAACGUCCGUCGUGAAGAGGGAAACAACCCAGACCGCCAGCUAAGGUCCCAAAGUCAUGGUUAAGUGGGAAACGAUGUGGGAAGGCCCAGACAGCCAGGAUGUUGGCUUAGAAGCAGCCAUCAUUUAAAGAAAGCGUAAUAGCUCACUGGUCGAGUCGGCCUGCGCGGAAGAUGUAACGGGGCUAAACCAUGCACCGAAGCUGCGGCAGCGACGCUGAUGCGUUGUUGGGUAGGGGAGCGUUCUGUAAGCCUGCGAAGGUGUGCUGUGAGGCAUGCUGGAGGUAUCAGAAGUGCGAAUGCUGACAUAAGUAACGAUAAAGCGGGUGAAAAGCCCGCUCGCCGGAAGACCAAGGGUUCCUGUCCAACGUUAAUCGGGGCAGGGUGAGUCGACCCCUAAGGCGAGGCCGAAAGGCGUAGUCGAUGGGAAACAGGUUAAUAUUCCUGUACUUGGUGUUACUGCGAAGGGGGGACGGAGAAGGCUAUGUUGGCCGGGCGACGGUUGUCCCGGUUUAAGCGUGUAGGCUGGUUUUCCAGGCAAAUCCGGAAAAUCAAGGCUGAGGCGUGAUGACGAGGCACUACGGUGCUGAAGCAACAAAUGCCCUGCUUCCAGGAAAAGCCUCUAAGCAUCAGGUAACAUCAAAUCGUACCCCAAACCGACACAGGUGGUCAGGUAGAGAAUACCAAGGCGCUUGAGAGAACUCGGGUGAAGGAACUAGGCAAAAUGGUGCCGUAACUUCGGGAGAAGGCACGCUGAUAUGUAGGUGAGGUCCCUUGCGGAUGGAGCUGAAAUCAGUCGAAGAUACCAGCUGGCUGCAACUGUUUAUUAAAAACACAGCACUGUGCAAACACGAAAGUGGACGUAUACGGUGUGACGCCUGCCCGGUGCCGGAAGGUUAAUUGAUGGGGUUAGCGCAAGCGAAGCUCUUGAUCGAAGCCCCGGUAAACGGCGGCCGUAACUAUAACGGUCCUAAGGUAGCGAAAUUCCUUGUCGGGUAAGUUCCGACCUGCACGAAUGGCGUAAUGAUGGCCAGGCUGUCUCCACCCGAGACUCAGUGAAAUUGAACUCGCUGUGAAGAUGCAGUGUACCCGCGGCAAGACGGAAAGACCCCGUGAACCUUUACUAUAGCUUGACACUGAACAUUGAGCCUUGAUGUGUAGGAUAGGUGGGAGGCUUAGAAGUGUGGACGCCAGUCUGCAUGGAGCCGACCUUGAAAUACCACCCUUUAAUGUUUGAUGUUCUAACGUUGACCCGUAAUCCGGGUUGCGGACAGUGUCUGGUGGGUAGUUUGACUGGGGCGGUCUCCUCCUAAAGAGUAACGGAGGAGCACGAAGGUUGGCUAAUCCUGGUCGGACAUCAGGAGGUUAGUGCAAUGGCAUAAGCCAGCUUGACUGCGAGCGUGACGGCGCGAGCAGGUGCGAAAGCAGGUCAUAGUGAUCCGGUGGUUCUGAAUGGAAGGGCCAUCGCUCAACGGAUAAAAGGUACUCCGGGGAUAACAGGCUGAUACCGCCCAAGAGUUCAUAUCGACGGCGGUGUUUGGCACCUCGAUGUCGGCUCAUCACAUCCUGGGGCUGAAGUAGGUCCCAAGGGUAUGGCUGUUCGCCAUUUAAAGUGGUACGCGAGCUGGGUUUAGAACGUCGUGAGACAGUUCGGUCCCUAUCUGCCGUGGGCGCUGGAGAACUGAGGGGGGCUGCUCCUAGUACGAGAGGACCGGAGUGGACGCAUCACUGGUGUUCGGGUUGUCAUGCCAAUGGCACUGCCCGGUAGCUAAAUGCGGAAGAGAUAAGUGCUGAAAGCAUCUAAGCACGAAACUUGCCCCGAGAUGAGUUCUCCCUGACCCUUUAAGGGUCCUGAAGGAACGUUGAAGACGACGACGUUGAUAGGCCGGGUGUGUAAGCGCAGCGAUGCGUUGAGCUAACCGGUACUAAUGAACCGUGAGGCUUAACCUUACAACGCCGAAGCUGUU
rnacentral:rRNA from 1 species